AGAGUUUGAUCAUGGCUCAGGACGAACGCUGGCGGCGUGCCUAACACAUGCAAGUCGAGCGGAGUAGAGUUCAACACUGAGUAUUCGAGCGUUGGCAAAAGUUAAGCCAGCGUCAUGCACAAACUACCUUGUUGAUAGACAUAUUUAAAAGAAAGUUUUGUGCAUCACGCUAAAUUAAGUGCCUAACAUAAUGCUAUGACUAAAACAAGUCAAAAUAGUAUUGAUAAGAAACGCCACACUUGAGUGCUGAGUGUUGGACUCUACUUAGCGGCGGACGGGUGAGUAACGCGUGGGCAACCUGCCUUGCACAGGGGGAUAACACAGGGAAACUUGUGCUAAUACCGCAUAACAUCACGGGGAGGCAUCUUCCUGUGAUCAAAGGAGAAAUCCGGUGCAAGAUGGGCCCGCGUCCGAUUAGCUAGUUGGCGGUGUAACGGACCACCAAGGCAACGAUCGGUAGCCGAACUGAGAGGUUGAUCGGCCACAUUGGGACUGAGACACGGCCCAGACUCCUACGGGAGGCAGCAGUGGGGAAUAUUGCGCAAUGGAGGAAACUCUGACGCAGCAACGCCGCGUGAAGGAUGAAGGUCUUCGGAUUGUAAACUUCUUUGAUGAGGGACGAAGGAAGUGACGGUACCUCAAAAACAAGCCACGGCUAACUACGUGCCAGCAGCCGCGGUAAUACGUAGGUGGCGAGCGUUGUCCGGAAUUACUGGGUGUAAAGGGCGCGUAGGCGGGGAUGUAAGUCAGAUGUGAAAUACCAUGGCUCAACCGUGGGGCUGCAUCUGAAACUAUGUUUCUUGAGUGCUGGAGAGGAAAGCGGAAUUCCUAGUGUAGCGGUGAAAUGCGUAGAUAUUAGNAGGAACACCAGUGGCGAAGGCGGCUUUCUGGACAGUAACUGACGCUGAGGCGCGAAAGCGUGGGGAGCGAACAGGAUUAGAUACCCUGNAGUCCACGNCGUAAACGAUGGNUACUAGNGUAGNAGGNAUCGACCCCUUCUGUGCCGGAGUAAACACAAUANNAUCCCACCU
rnacentral:rRNA from 1 species